UCUUAUGGAUGAGCAAAGAAAGUGGUUUCUUAAGAUGGAAUCAACUCCAGUUAAGAUGCUGUGAA
rnacentral:pre_miRNA from 1 species